UCGUUACCUCCAGCACCAACAGCCAACGGAAUGACAUCCCAGGCAAGCAAUGCGGAACUUCGUGCUCUGGUGGAAGCAGGCGACGCCGAAGGGCUGCAGACCGCCCUCGGCUCCCUAUCUGCAGGCGCCCUCUCGACUUUCUUGGGUGACACGGAUUUCUUGGGUAA
rnacentral:lncRNA from 1 species